GACGAACGCUGGUGGCGUGCUUAACACAUGCAAGUCGAACGGGAUUUAGUAAACAGAAGCCUCGGUGGAAGAUUACUAAUGAGAGUGGCGAACGGGUGAGUAACGCGUGAGCAACCUGCCUAUGACAGUGGGAUAGUCUCGGGAAACCGGGAUUAAUACCGCAUAAAAUCGUAGAAACACAUGUUUUAACGGUCAAAGAUUUAUCGGUCAUAGGUGGGCUCGCGUCUGAUUAGCUAGUUGGUGAGAUAACAGCCCACCAAGGCGACGAUCAGUAGCCGGUCUGAGAGGAUGAACGGCCACAUUGGAACUGAGACACGGUCCAAACUCCUACGGGAGGCAGCAGUGGGGAAUAUUGCACAAUGGGGGAAACCCUGAUGCAGCGACGCCGCGUGAACGAAGAAGGUAUUCGUAUCGUAAAGUUCUGUCCUAUGGGAAGAUAAUGACAGUACCAUAGAAGAAAGCUCCGGCUAAAUACGUG
rnacentral:rRNA from 1 species